rnacentral:rRNA from 1 species
UCGUACGCUUCUUUUUCCACCGGAGCUUGCUCCACCGGAAAAAGAAGAGUGGCGAACGGGUGAGUAACACGUGGGUAACCUGCCCAUCAGAAGGGGAUAACACUUGGAAACAGGUGCUAAUACCGUAUAACAAUCGAAACCGCAUGGUUUUGAUUUGAAAGGCGCUUUCGGGUGUCGCUGAUGGAUGGACCCGCGGUGCAUUAGCUAGUUGGUGAGGUAACGGCUCACCAAGGCCACGAUGCAUAGCCGACCUGAGAGGGUGAUCGGCCACAUUGGGACUGAGACACGGCCCAAACUCCUACGGGAGGCAGCAGUAGGGAAUCUUCGGCAAUGGACGAAAGUCUGACCGAGCAACGCCGCGUGAGUGAAGAAGGUUUUCGGAUCGUAAAACUCUGUUGUUAGAGAAGAACAAGGAUGAGAGUAACUGUUCAUCCCUUGACGGUAUCUAACCAGAAAGCCACGGCUAACUACGUGCCAG